UUAACUGAAGAGUUUGAUCAUGGCUCAGAUUGAACGCUGGCGGCAGGCCUAACACAUGCAAGUCGA
rnacentral:rRNA from 1 species